rnacentral:lncRNA from 1 species
GGAAGAACCAACAGGGGCAGAAAAGCUUUCUGUGCUCCUCAAGGUCCCUCAAACUGGGCCAUCUUUGGCCAUCCCAUGGUCACUGAUUCAGCCUGGCCUCCGCAGCCCCCUCCCUGCAUUACAUCCACCUCCUUGUUCCUGUCGACUGUCCCUAUGCUGCCAGUCGAGGAAUCCACCCGAAGCCAGGUCCUGCAUCAUCUGCCACCACCCUGUCCCCACCCCGUUUCAUUUCUCCUCCAUGGCACUUUCCCCAGUCACACGAAGCCAUUUCCACAGAAUCCCCGUGGGUCUUGGCUCGCACUCUUCUCCACUCCUCCACUGACAAGGAGACUCCUCGCUCCUCGGGACCCCGCCCCUCUGGAAGGCCCCGUCUGUUUCCCGACUUGAGCACCCGACCCUGGGCCUUCUGUCCCUUCCCUGUGUGAAGUGUCAUUGUGUUUACUGUCUCUUCCCAGGACACAGAGCUCCUGGAGGGCAGAGCCUGUCUGGGGCAGCAUGUGGGUGCCCCUAGGUACUCAAACCUGCAGACUUGCUCUAAGGUCCAAGUCAGGCAAAUGCCAGUCAUCGAGGGGGUCUGAUUUGAGAGUCUGGGGGUUGAGAGUCAUUUGGACUCAGUUUCUGUGACUUAAUCCUGUUUUGGGGGAGACCACAGACCAGGUGAGAAAACAGGCACAGAAACUUAAUGGCUGGUGGUCUGCUGAGCAAGGCUGCCGGGUCAGCCUCUUGGCAGGAGCCAGAAGCCAGGCUCUGGGCCGGUGGAGAGGUGGGGGUCAGGACUGCACCCAGGGGCACCUGUUUGCCCUCAGUGCAUUAGAGAGGCUCCAGGCUGUUACCAGGAAGGGAAGCCAGGCGCGGGGCUGGCCCCGAAAAUACAGCUGGGAGAGAGGCUGCGGGACGGGUUUUCAGCUGAGAACACAGGGC